AUACUUACUUGGACGGGGUCAAUGGGUGAUCAGCAAGGCCCAUGGACGGGGUCAAUGGGUGAUCAGCAAGGCCCAUGGCCUGGGCCGGUAACUUUCAUUGCACUUUGGAGGGGUGCCUGCCUAAAGUCGGCCCAAGUGGUUGAGCUUACGUCAUAAUUUGUGGCACUGGGGGCUUGCGUUCGCGCAACCCCUAC
rnacentral:snRNA from 1 species